GGGUCGUGUGAAGGUAGUGAGUUAUCUCACUUGACUGUUCACAGUCACAGAUGGAACUCCUUGUUCCACUCUUCCCCCCUUCUCACCACUGCACUUGACUAGUCUUUA
rnacentral:Y_RNA from 1 species